AAAGCUCGUAGUUGAAUUUCGGGGUUCUACCGUUGGUCGGGCUAACCAGUCUGUACUAGCGUGUAGAAUUCCUACCUUCUGGAGAACCAUCAUGUUAUUAAUUUAGCGUGGUGGGAAACCAGGACCUUUACCUUGAAAAAAUUAGAGUGUUCAAAGCAGGCUUACGUCUGAAUACAUUAGCAUGGAAUAAUAGAAUAGGACGGUGGUCCUGUUUUGUUGGUUUCUGAAUCACCGUAAUGAUUAAUAGGGAUAGUUGGGGGCAUUAGUAUUCAAUUGUCAGAGGUGAAAUUCUUGGAUUUAUUGAAGACUAACUUCUGCGAAAGCAUUUGCCAAGGAUGUUUUCAUUAAUCAAGAACGAAAGUUAGGGGAUCGAAGACGAUCAGAUACCGUCGUAGUCUUAACCAUAAACUAUGCCGACUAGGGAUCGGACGAUGUUAAAUUUUAUUGACUCGUUCGGCACCUUACGGGAAAC
rnacentral:rRNA from 1 species